rnacentral:rRNA from 1 species
AUUAGAAUUACCCGGU